GCACCAAAGCAGCCCGGUUGAUUCUGUGAAGUGUUUGACCCGGACAAUAACUGGUGCCAUAAAGAUUCAACGUAAAUCCAGAUGGACCUCCUCUGCUGUGGAGCCUGUCUCUACAACUUUGAAACACAA